rnacentral:rRNA from 1 species
UACGUGGGGCGCGGGUGUUAUUCGGUGUGAUUGGGUGUAAAGGGUACGUAGGCGGCUAUUUAUGUUGGUGGCUGAAAACGCGGAGUGUUCCUACGCGAGUGGUCCUUUAAUAAUAUAGCUUGAGUUGGUUAGUGGUUGGGGCAAUUUUGCAUGUCAGAGAUAGAAUACUAGUAUAUGCGAAGGAACGCUAGCUAGCGGAGGCGCCUUUCUGGUUUCAACUGACGCUAAGGUACGGAAGCGAAGGUAUCAAACAGG